GACGAACGCUGGCGGCGUGCUUAACACAUGCAAGUUGAACGGAAAGGCCCUGCUUGCCGGGUACUCGAGUGGCGAACGGGUGAGUAACACGUGGGUGAUCUGCCCUGCACUUCGGGAUAAGCCUGGGAAACUGGGUCUAAUACCGGAUAGGAGCCAUUUUUAGUGUGAUGGUUGGAAAGUUUUUUCGGUGUAGGAUGAGCUCGCGGCCUAUCAGCUUGUUGGUGGGGUAAUGGCCUACCAAGGCGGCGACGGGUAGCCGGCCUGAGAGGGUGGACGGCCACAUUGGGACUGAGAUACGGCCCAGACUCCUACGGGAGGCAGCAGUGGGGAAUAUUGCACAAUGGGCGCAAGCCUGAUGCAGCGACGCCGCGUGGGGGAUGACGGCCUUCGGGUUGUAAACUCCUUUCGCUAGGGACGAAGCUUUUUGUGACGGUACCUAGAUAAGAAGCACCGGCUAACUACGUG
rnacentral:rRNA from 1 species